rnacentral:rRNA from 1 species
GGUGAACGCUGGCGGCGUGCUUAACACAUGCAAGUCGAACGGUGAACACGGAGCUUGCUCUGUGGGAUCAGUGGCGAACGGGUGAGUAACACGUGAGCAACCUGCCCCUGACUCUGGGAUAAGCGCUGGAAACGGCGUCUAAUACUGGAUACGAACCACGAAGGCAUCUUCAGUGGUUGGAAAGAAUUUCGGUUGGGGAUGGGCUCGCGGCCUAUCAGCUUGUUGGUGAGGUAUUGGCUCACCAAGGCGGCGACGGGUAGCCGGCCGGAGGGGGUGACCGGCCACACUGGGACUGAGACACGGCCCAGACUCCUACGGGAGGCAGCAGUGGGGAAUAUUGCACAAUGGGCGAAAGCCUGAUGCAGCAACGCCGCGUGAGGGAUGACGGCCUUCGGGUUGUAAACCUCUUUUAGCAGGGAAGAAGCGAAAGUGACGGUACCUGCAGAAAAAGCGCCGGCUAACUACGUGCCAGCCGCCGCGGUAAAAC